ensembl:lncRNA RASSF1-AS1 RASSF1 antisense RNA 1
ACACGCACGCUUCGCCCCCAGGAAUGACCUCAUCGCUCCGGAGCUCCACUCACAGACCCCACCUACCACAGGGAACGGGGGCGGGUGCCAGCGUCCGGGCAAGCGCACAAGAGUGGCCUCUGGCCGGAGGCGAGGGCGGGAAGGUGCGGGAAGUGCGCGUGCGCGGAGCCUGGGUCAGCCUGGGCCCGGGUCCGCUUGCAGCGGGUGGAGUACUUGCGGAGCCGGCAAUCCAGGCUCCCCUCCCAGCCCCCGCGCAGAAUUAGCCUCUCUGUGCCGCCGGGAAAUCGGCAAUUAGAACGCUCCUUGCGCGCGGCACCCAGGCAGCCCUCGAGAAUGCCUGCACUGUGGCCUGCCCAUCCUCGCCCUUCCCAUACGCCCUCGGCCCCGCGCUCACCACGUUCGUGUCCCGCUCCACCGCGGGUUCCCAGCCCAGGUCCCGGGGCCCGCAACAGUCCAGGCAGACGAGCGCGCGGCAGCGGUAGUGGCAGGUGAACUUGCAAUCUGCAGAGAGGCCUGGCGGUGAGGCGGAGGAGCUCCAGGUCGGGGAAAUGUCCCGGAGAUUGAAGGGAAGCCCCAGGGAGAGGGCCGCUGCUCGCCAGGCUCCGCAGGCCCGACCUAUCUCAGUGGGUUACCUCACACUGCUACGCGGACUCUAAUGUUGGCCACCUGGGCGUCUGGAAACCGGCCGGAAGGCCACAGGCAGAGAGGCCUGCUCAACAGUUGGAUCUCUAUCGCCUAGCACAGAACUUCCCCUUUCCUCAUUGGCAAUUAAAAAAACAACAACAAAAAA